rnacentral:rRNA from 1 species
UACGUAGGGGGGCAAGCGUUGUCCGGAUUUAUUGGGCGUAAAGAGCGUGUAGGCGGCCAGGUAGGUCUGCUGUGAAAACUCGAGGCUUAACCUCGAGCUGUCGGCGGAAACCAUCUGGCUAGAGUCCGGAAGAGGAGAAUGGAAUUCCCGGUGUAGCGGGUGAAAUGCGCAGAUAUCGGGAAGAACACCCGUGGCGAAGGCGGUUCUCUGGGACGGUACUGACGCUGAGACGCGAAAGCGUGGGGAGCGAACAGG